UGCUACUGUUAUGAAUCGUCAUGUAAAUAUCUGAUAUGCAGGAUGGUCUUAGGCGACCCCUGUGAAAGGGUCGUUCGACCGCCAAAAGGGCCGCGACCCACAGGUUGAGAACCGCUGCUAUAGAGAGAGAACAUUCUUUCUAAGCAUGUUUACCAACAUGCGCGUGUGUGUGCAUGUGCACAUAUGCAUAUCCACAAGGACUCUGUGUAGCUAUAGUUCCGCUAAAAUGCUAACAAGUUUGGAAUCUUCCUUUCAAAUCAGUGCAGAACCACACGACUCUCUCUCCCAAUUAUAUGUGAAGGAGAGAAAAGCACCCACAACGUUUACGACAGAAAUAUGCACUGUCCAUUUAGGUCUCGUCUACGAAGACGCUGCGGGGUGGGGUGUGUCUCUUUAAAGCCGAUGGACACGGCUCUGGGCCGGCCGGGAAAUGCAGUCACUUAGCAGCAUCCACAGGGCAGGGCAGCUCUCAGCACAUUCCUGUCUCGCGGGGGAUUGGAGGGUCCGGAGAAGACGGCGGAGGCCCACCCCACAGACUCGUGCCAUCGGCCCGGCCUGUGGGGUUCCCAGCGGGGUCACCCCCAAAGGCACACGCGUUACCAACCCCGCCUGGACGGCGCAGGCAGCUCGCGUUCUGCAGGUGGCCUGCGGGAGGCUGGAGCGUGUAGUUGAUCAGAAAGUCCCCGUGCUGACGUCACGUCCGCUCACCGCUGUCCUGAGCUGUUGACAGCCAUCCCUGCACGUGUCAGAGCUGCUCUUAGCACAGCAGCCGGGGACCGACUUCCUCCUCGAGGAGCAUCGCCGGCCUGGGCCCGGGAGACUGAGUCUGGUGGGCUUUACAGCUUCAUCCGUGGCGUGUGUCCCCGUGGGAAAGGCACGUCGGUCCGAGUCGGGCGAGCGAGGUGCAAAUCCCAGCUCUCCCGCUGCCAGCCCAGGGGGGUGGUAGGUUCCUGGGCCGUCUGUGCCCGCGCUUUCCUGUGGGGACCACGGAGCUGGUGGCAGCCUCCCUGCCCAGGGCCGGGUGGGGAGUGGAGCCGUAGGCGGCACGGAGCCUUGGGCUGCUGCCGCGGGGGAUCGGGCGCUGUUUCCCGUUUCAGGGAGGACUCUUCCCUGCGAAGGCCCUGCUGCCUGGGGACCGGUUCGCAUCAGCUCACGUAUCCAUUUCAGGAGCGGUUCUCCAGGCGCCUCCCCAGUGCCCGCCGCACCCCCAUCCAUCGAUCGCUCAGUCCUGUUUGGAGAAACACUGACAGAUGCUUUUAUUUAGUUUUUAAAGAUAUGUUUAUUGAUUUCAAAGGGGAAGGGGGAGAGAGAGAGAGAAACAUCCAUGGUGAGAGAGAACCAUGGAUCGGCUGCCCCCUGCACGCCCCACACUGGGGAUGGAGCCUGCAACCCGGGCCUGUGCCCUGAGCAGGAAUCGAGCCGGGACCGCCUGGUUCCUGGGUCAAUGCUCAGCCACUGAGCCACGGGCCGGGCUGAGCUCAGUUUUGAAUUUGCAUCAUGGCAUCGUCUCUGAGCUGCUGUGAGGAGCACUUCUGUCUGCUUUGUCCACCUAAUUGUUUUAAACCUUUUCUUGCCUGUCCCCGCGGCAGGAAUUAUAUUCCCGAGGACGACUUUGUUACUAUAGAACAUCUGGCGUUCGGGAACGCAUGCUUUCCUGCUGUGAACCGCUGCUCCCAGCUGACCUGUUCCCCGAAGGCAGAGACAUGGUAACCGCGAUCUGUAAGCUGACAAGGUGGCAGUCACGACUGUGGUUUUACGGUAGCUGAGGAGCGAUGGCUCAUCGCCUUCUGAUGACAGAGUGAAGAGCUUUCUUUAGAAGGGCGUUUCAGCAAAACGUUUUCAUCGGAGUUUGAACCUUGAGACUGUGAAGUGUUUUUCGAAACCUAUUUUCGGCAUCUUUGGUGAAGGUUCUGGCCCGGAGAGCCCCUGAAUGGGAAAUCAAUAGAACAACGUAAAGACAGCAUCUCGCCCUCACCGUGCGAUCCCGCUGGUUGGGCACCGGGAGGUCACGGUUUGAUUCCCGGUCAGGGCACAUGCCUGGGCUGCAGGCUUGAUCCCCAAUGCGGGGCAAGCAGGGAGCAGCUUUUCUCUCUCUCUAUCCCUUCCUCUCUCUCUCUCAAAAUCAAUUUAAAAUUUUUUUUAAUAAGAAAACAUCUCACAAUGUCAUAAAAUCACUUAUCCACCUUCUUAAA